AAGAAGCCCUGAUGACCAACCAAUGCAUAGUUCACACUGAAUGCAAUUUGUGAAGAUACCAACGAUUUUAGUCUUUCGCUCCUAUCUGACUGGCUUUCU
rnacentral:snoRNA from 15 species